CGGGUGCGUAACGCGUGGGAACCUGCCUUUAGGUUCGGAAUAACAGUGAGAAAUCGCUGCUAAUACCGGAUAAUGUCUUCGGACCAAAGAUUUAUCGCCUUUAGAUGGGCCCGCGUUAGAUUAGAUAGUUGGUGGGGUAAUGGCCUACCAAGUCGACGAUCUAUAGCUGGUCUGAGAGGAUGAUCAGCCACACUGGGACUGAGACACGGCCCAGACUCCUACGGGAGGCAGCAGUGGGGAAUAUUGGACAAUGGGCGAAAGCCUGAUCCAGCAAUGCCGCGUGAGUGAUGAAGGCCUUAGGGUUGUAAAGCUCUUUUACCAGGGAUGAUAAUGACAGUACCUGGAGAAUAAGCUCCGGCUAACUCCGUGCCAGCAGCCGCGGUAAUACGGAGGGAGCUAGCGUUGUUCGGAAUUACUGGGCGUAAAGCGCGCGUAGGCGGCUAUUUAAGUCAGGGGUGAAAUCCCGGGGCUCAACCCCGGAACUGCCUUUGAAACUGGAUGGCUAGAAUCCUGGAGAGGCGAGUGGAAUUCCGAGUGUAGAGGUGAAAUUCGUAGAUAUUCGGAAGAACACCAGUGGCGAAGGCGACUCGCUGGACAGG
rnacentral:rRNA from 1 species